GACAUAUACAAUACAAAGUGACGUCUGCUGCUUACUAAAGACGCGCGCCAGCCAGCGUCAUCUCUUCCCUAGAACGUGCGACUCCAGUCUUGUGCCAGUUGAGGUGACCACUUCCUCUUGCCAACUGUCAAGUAUGCUGCUGCUUUGUCGGGUGGAACCUCGUCCCACACCCCUCCCGCACUCAGAUUAAAAACUCUCUCAUCACUUCCUCGCCCUAA